AACGAACGCUGGCGGCAGGCUUAACACAUGCAAGUCGAGCGCCCCGCAAGGGGAGCGGCAGACGGGUGAGUAACGCGUGGGAAUCUACCCUUCUCUACGGAACAACUCCGGGAAACUGGAGCUAAUACCGUAUACGCCCCUCGGGGGAGAGAUUUAUCGGAGAUGGAUGAGCCCGCGUUGGAUUAGCUAGUUGGUGGGGUAAAGGCCUACCAAGGCGACGAUCCAUAGCUGGUCUGAGAGGAUGAUCAGCCACAUUGGGACUGAGACACGGCCCAAACUCCUACGGGAGGCAGCAGUGGGGAAUAUCGGACAAUGGGCGAAAGCCUGAUCCAGCCAUGCCGCGUGAGUGAUGAAGGCCCUAGGGUUGUAAAGCUCUUUCACCGAUGAAGAUAAUGACGGUAGUCGGAGAAGAAGCCCCGGCUAACUUCGUGCCAGCAGCCGCCGUAAUAA
rnacentral:rRNA from 1 species